rnacentral:rRNA from 1 species
AAUUUAUUUUAUUAAUAUUUUAUUUUUUAAUUUAAAAUUUUAUAAAAAUAAUUUAUAAUUUUUUUGUUUUAGUAUUAAUUAAAAAUUAAUUAUUAGAUUUAUAGUUUAUUAGUAUUGUAAAAGAAUUAAAUUUUAAAUUAUUAUAAGAAUAUUUAAUAGUACCUUUUGUAUCAGGGUUGAUUAAAAUUUUAAAUUUAUUUUUAAUUCUCAAAAUUUAUAGAGUUAAUUUUAUUAUUAAAUUACUGUUUUAUAAGUAUUUAUAAGAUAAUAUUAGUUUUGAAAUUUAAUUCGUUAUGAUAUAUUUAGUUAUUUAAGAUUUAAAUUUAAUUUAAAAAUUUAAUAGUUUAAAUUAAUUUAAUUAAUUUUUAUUUUAAAUUUAAAUUAUUUUAGGGAUAAGCUUGAAAUUUAUAUAUAAUUAAUUUUAUUAAUAAAUAAUUAGUAGGAAUAGAAAUUUUUAUUUAAGUUUGUUAAAAUUUAUUAUUUUUUUAAUUUUGAUUUAUUACAUUAAUUUAUUUAAAAUAUUAAAUUUUAUAAAUAAAUAAUUUAUUUAUAGUAAUAAUGAUUAAAUUAGUAUAAUUUCAAUUUAUAAAUUAUGAAUUCGGCAAAAUUUAUUUUCAUCUGUUUAUCAAAAACAUUGUAUUAAGAUUUAUUUAAUAUAUAAUCUGCUCAAUGAAAUUUUUAAAUAGCUGCAGUAUAUUGACUGUGCAAAGGUAGCAUAAUAAUUAGUCUUUUAAUUGAGGACUGGUAUGAAAGAUUUGAUGAAAAAUAAGCUUUAUUAUUUAUAUAAUUAAAAUUUUAUUUUUAAGUAAAAAAGCUUAAAUAAUUUAAAGGGACGAUAAGACCCUAUAAAACUUUAUAAAUUAAUUCUAUUUAAUUUUUUUGUUUAUAAGUAAUUAAAUUUUAUUAUUUAUUUUAUUGGGGUGAUAAAAAAAAAUUGAACUUUUUUUAAAAAUUAACAGUAAUUAAUGGAUUUUUGAAUUAAAAUUUUUAAUUAAAGGAAAAAGUUACUUUAGGGAUAACAGCGUAAUUAAUUUUUUAAGUCCAAAUUUAAAAAUUAGUUUGCGACCUCGAUGUUGAAUUAAGAUUAAGCUUAGGUGCAAAAUUUUAAGUUUUAGGUCUGUUCGACCUUUAAAAUCUUACAUGAUUUGAGUUCAGACCGGUGUAAGCCAGGUUGGUUUCUAUCUUUUAAAAAUUAAAUUAUUUUAGUACGAAAGGAUUAAAUAGUUAAAUUAAAUUUUUUUAUAUGAAUAAAAUUAAUUUU